GUAGGUAGGUGCGAGGGGCCGGGGUAAUACGUAGGGGGCGGGCGUGGUCCGGAGUAAUGGGGCGUAAAGAGCUCGUGGGCGGUUCAGUAAGUCGGGGGGGAAAGCUCCGAGCUCAACUCGGAGAGGCCACCCGAUACUGCUGUGACUAGAAUCCAGUAGGGGAGUGUGGAACUCCUGGUGUAGCGGUGAAAUGCGCAGAUAUCAGGAAGAACACCAGCGGCGAAGGCGGCACUCUGGGCUGGUAUUGACGCUGAGGAGCGAAAGUGUGGGUAGCAAACAGGAUUAGAUACCCGAGUAGUC
rnacentral:rRNA from 1 species